GCUUGGCCCUAAACCUCAGUAGUUAGAUAACAAAACUACUCGCCAGAAUACUACAAGCAACAGCUUAAAACUCAAAGGACUUGACGGUGCUUUACAUCCCCCUAGAGGAGCCUGUUCCGUAAUCGAUAAACCCCGAUCCACCCCACCCUCUCUUGCUCAGCCUAUAUACCGCCAUCUUCAGCAAACCCCAAUGAAGGCUACAAAGUGAGCGCAAACGCCACUGCCGCGAAUACGUUAGGUCAAGGUGUAGCCCAUGAGACGGUAAAAAAUGGGCUACAUUUUCUAUUUCAGAAAACCCCACGAAAACCCUUAUGAAACUUAAGGGUCCAAGGAGGAUUUAGCAGUAAAUUAAGAAUAGAGUGCUUAAUUGAACCAGGCCAUAAAGCGCG
rnacentral:rRNA from 1 species